CUGGUCUUGAACUCCUGACCUCAGGUGAUCUGCCCACUUCGGCCUUGCAAGGUACAGAGAUUACAGGCAUUACUGCUUUCUUAAUGGCUUUUAAUGUUACUCCCCCAAAACAAAAAGACCCAACACCUUAAUUAACAUGGACACAAAUAAUUC